ensembl:lncRNA
GGCGGGUCAGAUGCAUUUCCUUUUAUACUAUCCACAUUUUUUGCCAGACAUGUCGAUGAUGUUCAUUGCCAAAAGUUCAUCUGACUAGACAUCAGAUUUUUCUAUUCCACCACCUUUAAUCACAAGCUCUUGCCGUUAAGCCUGGAAAAAAACUUGGACAGAAUACUUGGACAGAACUGCAAUAAGAUAAGCAAUAGACAAUUUAAAAAUAAAAAGAAAGACUAAUACUAUAAUAUAUGAAUGAGACUAUGGCAAGCAUUCAAGUAAAAUAUAAUGGGAGUCUAGUAUAUUGCCAAUAUAUUGCUACUGAACGUGAAUAGUUCUAGUUGUAAUUAUUAUAGUAAUCAAUGGAAGUUUAGUAUAAUUAAAAAAUAUGGCUUCCACAUUUAUUUUUCAACAACAUAUCAAAUAGCACCUGGUUACACUACCCUGUGAUGCCGUAUGAGCAGCAUGCUGGCGUAACAUGUCUUGGAGCAGGCAUGUACUGUAUUAGCCUUCACCCUGAUAUGAUAGCGGAGAACUGGUUGCUGGGUGGGAAUUGCCAGGUGAACAAAUUUGGAAGAAAAUGGACAACAUGUCCAAAUUGUGAAUUUCAGGGUGCUAAAUUUCUCCUCAGUGUAAAAUAGUGUAAAUAACAUAAUGUCUUGCAAUGGACUGGUAUUCCUAUAAUACAUCCAGUAUUCCUGGGAUAGGCUCUAUGACCCUAGAUCCUGAAAGUGGUGAAUGAUUGAAUUAACAAUUUGCUUCCAUCAAUCUGUUAGACUUUGGUGCUGGACUUAAUACUGCUGAAGCCAAUAUAAAAAAAACAAAAAACAAAAAAACAAAAAAAAAACAGAGACUACUCUUUUCACAAAAGUCUGCCCUCUGCAUGCAACUGUCCAAGUGGUGCAUAAGUCUGUAUUUACAUAUAAAUAUUGAUGUGCACAUUUUCAGUAUUAAUUUCUCCCUAUACACACUUAACUCCACUCUGAAUACAGCCUUUUGUAUGAGGUAGAGGAAAGUUUCCUGACAGAUGAUGUUUUUGAUUUUAUUUGUGCUUUUCCUCAUGCUCAAAGGGUAUGUUGAUAAAUGCCAAACACAGGUAAAUUACCAGGUGUUUUCAUGGCACAGCUGAUCUGCAUUUCGUCAUGACCACAAAACUCCAUAAAAGGCAAAGAGAGCAGAAAAAGGCAAAAAUUAUGGCAAAGCAGCAAAAGAGCUCUUCCUAGUACAGUGUGUGCUAAAUCAUCCAGGAAUAUUGCUGAGCCAUUGCAGAGCAUCUGUUAGCACAGGCAAACUCUUCCUCCUGUUAUAACACAAUGUUUCUUUUGUCCUGAUUGAAUAGCUAGUC